GACGGGGGGGGCAAGUGUUCUUCGGAAUGACUGGGCGUAAAGGGCACGUAGGCGGUGAAUCGGGUUGAAAGUGAAAGUCGCCAAAAACUGGCGGAAUGCUCUCGAAACCAAUUCACUUGGGUGAGACAGAGGAGAGUGGAAUUUCGUGUGUAGGGGUGAAAUCCGCAAAUCUACGAAGGAAGGCCAAAAGCGAAGGCAGCUCUCUGGGUCCCUACCGACGCUGGGGUGCGAAAGCGUGGGGAGCGAACAGG
rnacentral:rRNA from 1 species